rnacentral:tRNA from 1 species
GAGGGUUUAGCUCAGGGGUACAGCGUGUGUCUAGCAAGCACAAGGUCCUGGGUUCAAUCCCCAGUAUCUCUA